CAAGCUUGUUUCUAGGGGUCCU
rnacentral:miRNA from 9 species